rnacentral:rRNA from 1 species
AGCUCCAAUAGCGUAUAUUAAAGUUGUUGCAGUUAAAAAGCUCGUAGUUGGAUUUCUGGUGGGAGCGUUGGGUCGGCCCUAAGGGCUCGUACUCAAAUGUUUUCCGCCAUCCUUGGAGGGAUGUUGUCUGGCAUUAAGUUGUCGGGCUUCCGAUCUCCAUCGUUUACUGUGAAAAAAUUAGAGUGUUCAAAGCAGGCUUACGCCGUUGAAUACAUUAGCAUGGAAUAAUAAGAUAGGACCCUGGUACUAUUUUGUUGGUUUGCGUACCUAGGUAAUGAUUAAUAGGGACAGUUGGGGGUAUUCGUAUUCCGUUGUCAGAGGUGAAAUUCUUGGAUUUACGGAAGACGAACUACUGCGAAAGCAUUUACCAAGGAUGUUUUCA